rnacentral:rRNA from 1 species
AUGCCGCCGCUGCCGAGGGCGUCACAGCGAAUCCGAUAUUCCAAGAAAAAAGGGGCACCGCCGGAGAGGGACUGGGCGGAGCUGCGCCCGGACCUCAUCUCCCUCAUCCUCCACCGGCUGGACCAGGCCGAGCUCCUGGUCGGCGGCGUGGCGGGCGUUUGCCGCUCCUGGCGCCGCGCCGCCCGGGAGCAGCCGGAGCUGUGGCCCCGCGUCGACCUGCGCGAAGGCCUCUGGUACGUCCCGCCGUUCCGCCCCAAGAUCAGCAUCGAGAGCAUGGUGCGCAAGGCCCUGCGUCUCGGCGCGGGACAGACAGAGGCCUUCCUGAGCGAUGGCGUCGACAACCACACGCUCCUGCUGCUCGCCCAGCGGGCACCCUCGUUGAAGAGCCUUCAUCUCAUCACGUGCUCUGUCUCCAACCUCGGAUUUGCAAAGGCGAUCAAGAUGUUACCUCUGCUCGAGGAGCUUGAGAUUUCACGACCUACAUAUUGCAAUACACGAGAAAUGGUUGAACUAGUCGCAGGAAUAUGCCUAGAGUUGAAGCACUUCAGACUUGUCAUGCAUGGCCUUGAAGGCAGGCGUACUAGUGCCAGGGUAGCAUCUUUGGUUGCAAGGAUGCACAAGCUACGCUCCUUGCAUCUUGUCCGCCUUAAACUUGACAAUGAAGAGCUGGGAACCAUCCUUGACAAUUGCCACGACCUAGAGUACCUCGACAUGCGAGAGUGCAGCCUUGUUGACAUGGAUAACAUGGAUGACAGCCCACGAGUGAAGCUUGCCCAGAUCAAUAUGGAUAACCAUGAGUACUCCAGUGACCAACAGGUUGACUAUGAGUACAAGAUCCGUAGUAUUCAUUACGAACUCAACUACCGUGAACUUAGAGAUGGUUCGCUUUCCUACUAUCCGGAUUACAACGACUCCUAUGAGGAAUAUUGCUACUACAUUGGUAGUGGUGAUGGUAUUGACGAUGCCGAUCUCGAACAGUAUGAGAAAAUCCUUGAUGUCAAGAUCAUGCGUAGGUACCUAAGCUAA